rnacentral:rRNA from 1 species
CCCUUAGAUGUCCUGGGCCGCACGCGCGCUACACUGAUGCAUUCAACGAGUUUUACCUUGGCCGAGAGGCCUGGGCAAUCUUUUAAACCUGCAUCGUGAUAGGGACAGAUUAUUGCAAUUAUUAAUCUUGAACGAGGAAUUCCUAGUAAACGCAGAUCAUCAAUCUGCAUUGAUUACGUCCCUGCCCUUUGUACACACCGCCCGUCGCACCUACCGAUUGAAUGGUCCGGUGAAGCCUCGGGAUUGUGGCCAGUUCACUUUAUUGGGAGUUGGCUGCGAGAACUUGUCUAAACCUUAUCAUUUAGAGGAAGGUGAAGUCGUAACA